AGGGGUGUAGCUCAAUUGUUAGAGUGCUUGGCUAGCAUGCAGGAGGCCCUGAGUUCAAUCCCCAGUACCCAGA
rnacentral:tRNA from 1 species